UAUAUCAAACAGAUGACCUGUAAAGUAACUUCAAUAGGAUAACACAUAGAUGUUCUGGGUGUUUUUCUCAUCAUAAAUAAACCAAAAAAGGAGGUUUGUGACAGGCCACCUGAACAGGUGUGUCAACAAAGUACGGGGCAUCAAUUUAGCUUUUCCUUAGCUACAGUAAUCUUACUCGUCUGUGUGUAUAGGUCUAUGGAAUACAAUAUUUUUGUUUUUGUUUUUUUAAUGUUUGACAAAUUUGAGUUAUUUUAUUUUGAAGGUGUUAUUCACUUGUUCACCCAUUUGUUCUUCAUGCGUUUUCAUUGAGCCAUAUAAGUCUUUACGUGUUGUAAUCUAAAUCAGUAACUGACUGAAUGUAAUGGCUUUAUCUGACAGGAUGCACACAUCUUCAGUCUACAUCAAACAUACAGGAAACACUGCUUGCUGUCUCUUCUGUGUGUGUGUAUAUACAGAGUGUGAGAAACUAAUUAAGCAUCAUAUGCUGUCACUGCUGCAAAGAUGAUGCUGUGUUUGACCUUAUUAUUGAUUUGUUAUGAUGCAUAUUCAGAAGGCACUAUAAUCAUCACGGAGCCUGGUGAGAGCAUCACUUUAAAGUGUUCCUCAGAAGAAUGCCCCCAAAACAAUGGUCGAUAUGUUGGGAUGUAUCUGUAUCAUAGGUUUACUGAACAGAAUGAUCGCACAGCAAAGUUAUUGUGCGAUCGAGAUACAAAGGCAGGAUUGAGUCAAAUGGAGCUCUCAUGAACCAAGCAUCACCAUCAGCAGCUUGACUGUGGAUGAUUCUGAUGUCUACACCUGCGUCUACAAAAUAUCAGUCGACAAGAGUGUUGAGUGCAAAGUCUACACAGUUUUUGUGAGAGUUCCCACAGGUCCUGAUCAUCAGCUCCUGUGUCAUAAGCCUGCUGUUGCCCGUCAUCCUCAUCCUACUGAGUGUGAAACGAAGAAGAAGCUACAGAAGAACAGCUGUUGUCUGCAAACAGUUAAAGAAAAGUCUGCCUUAUGGCUGGAAUGAGCUGGACGUGUAAUAUAUUACUGCUAAAUUAAGAGCUGCUGCUGAAUUAAUGAUCAGUAGGAAAAAGCUGAAAAGGUUAGUGGCGUGGCUACUGAUGAGGUUCCCAAAUAUCUGCUGGUGAACCAGAGGAGUGAACUGACGAUGUGAUCAUCAUUUGUAAAGCUGCAGCAAGAACUUUAUCUGAUUCUUUUUUGUGUUUUAAAUACUUUAUACAUUCUGGAAAUUUGAAAUGAGCCCGCACAGAGAUUUUACUCUUUGUGUUCUGACGUAUUUGUGUUCAUUUUAGUCAGGAAUGUGUUAAAAGUGUUCUUGGUGAAUCAGUCAAUUUAUUGAUGCCUUUUUAUAAUUUUAUUAUUACCAUCAGUUUCAGAGACAUUUGAUGAUGUAUUCAUUAGUUAGUAUAAAUGAGCAACAACAUUAGUAACAUGAAAUGAACACAGUCUUUUUAGAAAUGAAAUCCUGGUGACAUGAGAUUGAAACUGUGAGAUUGAAGUCAGGUGCCUUGACUUGCCUCGGCCGCCAGAUGUCACUUUUUUGAUAAGACUGAAGUCUCUAAGUCUUGAGUCUUUACUUGCAUAAGUACAGUAUUGAGUUCUUUGAGUUUGUUUUCCAGACUCCAGCUUACAUUUGAACAUCAUACUUUUCCACACAUAUAACAAAACUGUAAUACUGCAUGGUAAUAAGCAAGAAAGAAAUGUCACAAUCCUGUGGCCUUCUGAUUGGUAGACAAAUUAAUUGCCACAGUAAGAAAUCUAAGGAUUAAAGUGAAGACAGUUGAUCUUAUUGACAUAAGUUUCACCUUCCUCUUUUUUGAUGUGCCACCUGAACAGGUAAACAUGUAUAUGUUUGUACCAUCUUCAGCUAACAAUUCAAAGGUCUUUUCAUGAUUUCAAUCAGGAAAUGACUUAAUGUAAAGAUUUUAUCUCACAGGAUGCACACAUCAUCAGUCAAACCAUACAGGGAAAAACUGCCUACUAGCUCUCUUGUCUUUGUUUAUGUACAAUACAGUGUGUGGCAAACAAAGUCAGUAUAUGCUGUCACUGCUGCAAAGAUGAUGCCACUGUGCUGGAUCAUAUUAUUGAUUUGUUGUUAUUCUCAUUCAGGUAUGUCCAUUUUUUUUCUUUUAAAAUAUUUAAAAGUUUAAAGUCUACUUGGAACAAGACUAGAGAGCACUAUAAUCAUCAGAGAGCCUGGUGAGAGCAUCACUUUGAAGUGUUCAUCAGAAGGAUGCCCCCAAAACAAUGAUGGAUAUGCUGGGAUGUAUCUGUAUCAUAACUUUAUUGAACAGAAAGAGGUGUAUUUCUAUGGUAACUAUGCCAACAGCAAAAUCAUAGAGCGACCACGAUACGAAGGCAGGAUUGAGUCAAACGGCGCUCCCAUGAACCACAACAUCACCAUCAGCAACUUGACCGUGGAUGAUUCUGGUGUCUACACUUGUGUCUACAAAGAAUCAGCUGACAAAAGUGUCAAUUGCAAUGUCCACACAGUUUUCGUGAGAGGAUUGGCACCAUGUCCCAGCCAAGAGCCCCAGAUCCCCACCACUGUGGAGGACAGAUUUCUAGUCAUGCUGUUGAUCAUCUGUAUCUGUGUGAUCAGCACACUGUUAAUCAUUAUUUUCAUUCUGCUGAUUACGCAGAAGGUGAAACAAAGGAGUAGCUGCAGGCGAUUAUCCAGCAGUUCCCCGGAAGAAUCAAAUGAUUGUGUGUAUGAAGUUAUGAUGAAGAAUAACUUCUACUCUGUCGCAGCUUUAGAACAAUGAACUCAAAGCCCCUAUAACUUUGCUUAGCAAUACCAUCCAACCUUUUUGGUUGGAUGGUUUUUUUCUCUUUAUUCAAAAUUCAACCAUGCAAUUCAAUACAUUAGUAAAAAUGUCAAACAGUAACAAGUUUAAGGGUAGAGUCAGUAAUUUAUGAAGUUCUUAAAUUGAAAAAAGUAUACUGUACACUUAAAUACAAUGGUGCCAAAAUACAUAGGACCAGAUUUGAGGUUUGUGGAAGCUGCCACGUUCCCGCCAUAUUUGAAUAUAGUAGCUGGGAAGGACAUUCCAACUCAUAGCGUUUUAUGUGUUUGACUGGCCUCAUACAUAGUACGUCAAAGAUGGAGGCAAGGAGAAGUCAUCGGUGUUAGUGUGCUAUGAUAUUUAAAUUUGGGCCUGCACCUUUAGGCUCAAGAUAUGAAGCAUAAGGGGGUCCCCGUUACCAAAGAAACAAAAAGGUAAAGGAAAGAGACAAUGCCCUGAAAAUCGAAAUAAAAUGUCAGGACUGUAACAUAUGGAAAAGUGUCUUGCCCAAGGACACAACGACCAGGACAGAGAGCCUGGGGAAGAUGCGCUUCCCAAUCCCCUGAGCCACGGUCGCCCCAAAACUGUUAAUAUUAAGCUUAAUAUCAGUCAGAAGUGAGCUUCUCUGACUCAUUGACCAGUGUCAGAGUCCUUUCACAAAGUUUUACAGCCUCUUCUACAGUAAAUACAGGGGCAUGUUUUUCACUUUGCAUUGACAGCUGAGGUAAACAGUGGCCUGACAGGAUGCCACAGACAGGGGAAAAAAGUAGGGGUGCAACGAUACACAAAAUUCACGGUUCGGUUGG